AGCAGCCGCGGUAAUUCCAGCUCCAAUAGCGUAUAUUAAAGUUGUUGCAGUUAAAAAGCUCGUAGUUGAAUUUCGGGAUUAGUAAGUUGGUCGUGCCUCUGGUAUGUACUGGCUUUACUGGUUCCUCCUUCUUGAAGAACUGUAAUGUCAUUAAUUUGGUGUUGCAGGGAAACAGGACUGUUACUUUGAAAAAUUAGAGUGUUUAAAGCAGGCUAACGCUUGAAUACAUUAGCAUGGAAUAAUGAAAUAGGACGUUUGAUCCUAUUUUGUUGGUUUCUAGGAUUGACGUAAUGAUUAAUAGGGAUAGUUGGGGGCAUUAGUAUUCAAUUGUCAGAGGUGAAAUUCUUGGAUUUAUUGAAGACUAACUACUGCGAAAGCAUUUGCCAAGGAUGUUUUCAUUAAUCAAGAACGAAAGUUAGGGGAUCGAAGACGAUCAGAUACCGUCGUAGUCUUAACCAUAAACUAUGCCGACUAGGGAUCGGAUGAUGUUAAUUUUAUGUACUCAUUCGGCGCCUUACGG
rnacentral:rRNA from 1 species